rnacentral:lncRNA from 1 species
CUCCUCUCACUCUCCCAGCUGCUGUGUGGUGCAGCAUUUUUUUUUUUUUCCCCUGUCUUAAAUAUGCUCUCACUAAGAUACAAACAACAUCGCUUAUUGGCUCAGCUCUGGUCAGCAGUGGGGCCCUUACCUAACGUGGGGCAGCUUCUAGAUCCUUCUCACAGAAGCCACCCCUAUGGCCCCCUGCUACCAAAACCUUGCCACAUAAACCCACUACACUGCAUCAGGAUUGUCACCAUUAAGAAGUCAAUUUUCAAGCCACAUAUAGAGACUUUGAGAAUGACAUUCCAGGACCUGCUGAUAUAAAACCUAUCAUUAUCAAGUCAACCAUUUCCCAAAGUAGUGACAGAUAUUCAACAUUAUUUUCAGAGAUAAAUGAAUGGUCUUCAUUGCAUCUCCUCUCCGUGUUGGCAAUUUCAGUGAAGAGGCCAAGAGGUGAAUAGCCUGCAGAACUUGUCCUCUUUUUUUCAUGCCUGGGGUUGACUUUUAAAGUUAAAGACCUUUUGGAGAAGAUUUGCCCUCUCAUAGCCUUUUUUUGUAAAAAAGCAUCAUGUAUGUGAAUUUUGAGCAACCGGCAACACCCAUUGCUAAAGGGCAAGAGCUAACCAGGGAAAGGUCAUUCCAAUUCACAAAGGGCUUUGAUAUUUCAGAAUAGCUGACUUUGUUAUGAAAUGAAGGAGAACCUCGCAUUUCAAAUUCUUUGUGUAAGAGAAAAAAUGUUUUGGUCUUCAGGAAUCCCACCAGAAGAGCCAUCCUGAAGAUAUGAGUACUGGAAGCUCUUGGGAGGGUGGCUGUACAGAGUUUCCACAAGUUUUCUGCUUCUCUUAUCCUACACAUUAAAAUGGGAAGCCACACUGAUGAGCAGCAAAACAAAGAGGGGCCAAGGUGUUUUGGAAGUGAAACACUGAUGGUUUUCAAGCUUUUAACUCCCCUUCCAUGGAAGGAGGCUCAAUGGGAUGCUGGAAAUACCCAUAUCCUAACAACAGAGAAAAGAGUUAGAGAAGAAAAUUUUUAAAACAGAACCCAGUCAUAGAUUACAGCACAACUCUGUCAACAUUCAACAGCCAUCAUAAAAAUAUUGUAUUUCUUUGGAUUAUCAUCUCCCGAGGGAAUAACAUACACUGGAGAGUUUUCAAUGAACAACAAUGAGGAUACAGCACUUCUAGAGGUUUGGCAAUUUUUAAAAUUUAUUGCCAUUCUCUGUUAGCUGCCUAAACAUAAAUAUAGGGGCCACCUGAGGCAUAGGGGCCCAGCUUUAAAAAUACAUUUCACACUCAUUCGUUCUUUAUUUUUUUAUUUGUUGGUUUUUUUUUUUUUUGUUUUAAUAUUUUACUAGUAUAUACAUAUAUUAGCAUACGCAUUCAAUGUCAUGUAAAAGGUAGAGUCAAACAAUGUUUUUUUCUUUUUUUUUUUUCAGAACUGUGAAGCAAGUGGGUGUUCCUUUCUAUGCUAGAUGCAGAACAGGGGAUAGAUAGAAAGGAUUUUCUAAAUAUGUUUUUUAGAAGUUUCUCCAAACAGUCACAGACCUCUAAGACAUGAAAAAAAAAUGAAACAGAUCCAUAUAAGUUCCACAUGUAAACUAGAUUCUUUCCCCUGACUGAGACUUCCUGUGGCAUCCUCUCUCUAGCUUUCAUACCAUGCUGACAAUGCUCAGGUGCUCAUGGGUUAAGAAUGUCCUUUUUUUUCCCGCUGCCAAGGUUUUCCCCUAUCAGCCCAAGGCUUUCUGCCUUCCCUUCCAUACUCUCUAAAUACCUGCAUUGAGGCUUUAUUCUUUGAAAGAAGAAAAGGUGCCUAUUUCCUUUCUAACCACAUCGUUAGCAAGGCUUCUUCUAAAUAAACAUCAUCCAUCACAUAACUGUUAUUUACA